GCUGUGGAGGCAAGCCGCGGCGCGCGGGCGGUUGGUCCGGUUCUCGGGCCUGGCGGUAGGCAAGUCUGGCUUGUCGCUGUCGGAUACUUGGGGUGAGCGGAAAGCAUGGCGGGGACCUCCGCGCCAGGCAGCAAGAGGCGGAGCGAGCCCCCGGCGCCUCGCCCCGGCCCGCCGCCGGGCACCGGGCACCCCCCUAGCAAGCGGGCCCGGGGCUUCUCCGCGGCCGCUGCCCCGGACCCUGACGACCCGUUUGGCGCGCAUGGGGACUUCACUGCCGACGACCUGGAGGAGCUUGACACCCUCGCGUCACAGGCCCUGAGCCAAUGUCCGGCCGCGGCUCAGCACGUGUCCAGUGAGUGCUCCUCGGGGCCUUUUUCUCGGAGGGAGUUGCAGACCGCGCCAGAUCGCCUUGAUGGCUGUGGCUUCGGAGCCUCGCGGCCAGCACUGCCCUUUCGCCUUUUUAAAAUAUGGGAACACUCUAAUUUAAGCAGCGGUUGUCUUCCAGAAGGUCCUUUGAUUUUAGGGGGAAAUAAAUUAGCCAGGUCAUACAGCAGAUUUGAAACAUAGAACGCUAAGUUGACAUUUUACUUUAUUUUCUAAAGUUUAGGCCACUUGGUUCUUGGUUCUAAGCAGAGAUCCUUGGAACACACCUACCACCACCAUCAGAACCAUCACUACCCAUGCGUGAGGACCCAUUCUUGUGACAAGUUUGAGCGGCUUUAGAUCUUAUGAAGCCCACUGUCUCCCUUGGGCAGUGUUAGCAUGGGAGGAGUCUGA